AGUAAGAAGGAUUUUGAGCAAAGAUUCUGCACAUGAGUCUGAUUCAAAAGGAGGAUAAAACACAUAAUCAGCUGCAGCAGGUCCUUUGCAUACAGUAGCUGUUACCUCACAAACAGACUGGGAUCCUUCACUAAAGACACAAGGUACUGAGUGCCAGUUCCGUCCCCACUUUCAGUCCAUUGUAUGCCCACACCCUGCCCACCAGUGUCAAAAAUGUGGUGCAAGGAGCUCUCAGUUGUUUGACAAGAUUCUCACCCAAUAGCUGUAAUGAUCAAAUCUACAGCAACUCUGUGUGAAAACAGAGGAACGGGGCUGAUGGAGAAAGUUCAGUUCUUCAAAGCUAAGAUAGCUGCAAACAGACACCAUUAAUCAUCCCUCUGCCAAGAUCUUCUUCCCACACCAGGCUUUACUGUACAUUCCUUGCAUUUCCAUACCAUGAUGUCAGUCCAGC
rnacentral:lncRNA from 1 species